rnacentral:rRNA from 1 species
AGAGUUUGAUCCUGGCUCAGGAUGAACGCUAGCUACAGGCUUAACACAUGCAAGUCGCGGGGCAGCAUGUUACUGGCUUGCCAGUAAUGAUGGCGACCGGCGCACGGGUGAGUAUCGCGUACCCAACCUUCCCAUAUCCACGGGAUAGCCUGCCGAAAGGCAGAUUAAUACCGUAUGUUGUCGCACGCUGGCAUCAAAAUGCGACGAAAGGCUUAGCGGAUAUGGAUGGGGAUGCGUCCGAUUAGCUUGACGGCGGGGUAACGGCCCACCGUGGCGACGAUCGGUAGGGGUUCUGAGAGGAAGGUCCCCCACAUUGGAACCGAGACACGGUCCAAACUCCUACGGGAGGCAGCAGUGAGGAAUAUUGGUCAAUGGGCGCAAGCCUGAACCAGCCAAGUAGCGUGCAGGAUGACGGCCCUAUGGGUUGUAAACUGCUUUUAUGCGGGGAUAAAGUAUGGGACGUGUCCCAUUUUGCAGGUACCGCAUGAAUAAGGACCGGCUAAUUCCGUGCCAGCAGCCGCGGUAAUACGGAAGGUCCGGGCGUUAUCCGGAUUCAUUGGGUUUAAAGGGAGCGUAGGCCGCCCCUUAAGCGUGUUGUGAAGUGCCGCGGCUCAACCGUGGCACUGCAGCGCGAACUGGGGGGCUUGAGUGUGCGCGACGCAGGCGGAAUUCGUGGUGUAGCGGUGAAAUGCUUAGAUAUCACGAGGAACCCCGAUUGCGAAGGCAGCUUGCGGGAGCACUACUGACGCUGAAGCUCGAAGGCGCGGGUAUCGAACAGGAUUAGAUACCCUGGUAGUCCGCGCGGUAAACGAUGGAUGCCCGCUGUGUGCCAUUAUGGUAUGCGGCCAAGCGAAAGCGUUAAGCA